rnacentral:lncRNA from 1 species
GAUCAUCCAAAUCAUUUUCGUUGCUUUAAAUCGACUUUCUACUCCCACGUAUAUAUCCCACUGUCCAAAAUCAAAGAUAAAAUGGUGUUUAUAUAUACGAGGAUCAAAGUAGAAACGGAAGAUGGAUCUUGGAAUUAUGGAAAGUAAUCCUCUAGAUAUAUGAAACUAUACAUACGUUUAUUGUAUAUAUAUAUAUAUAUAUAGUCUUUUUCACAUUUCAAAACGAAAAGCAAAAUAUUGGUAUUUUGUCUAUUUUUAUGGUUAUUAAUAUCUAUACGUUUAGAUAAGCAUAUGAUUUCAUCUUAUCAAAAAGGCUCUGAAUAUAAAUGCACCCACUACGUGACAUAAGCUCGUUGCAUAUAAACAAACAAUUUGGGAAUUUCUAGUUAAAAAUUGGGACACGAAGAUUCGGAUGAAUAUUUAAGUAAAAUGUUGGAUAAUAAAAGAGAAUAAAGAGAAACUAAAGUAAAAAGUGUUAUAGAAAAUUAGAGCACAUAGAUAUCCAUUAAUUAGAAUUUACAUACACAUGCAUAAACAGACAAUCAAUAUAUAUCAGUAGUAUAGAACUAAUCUUGAAAGUCACAUACAUCAUCGGAUCUACAAGUAAACGCAGAGAAAACAAAGAACGAAUGAAGAGACUAUCUUUGAGGAAAACCUAAUUUUCAAUAAGAUUACAUAAAGACAAAACUUACAUGUUUUUACUUACUUGUUAGAGUGAUUCCAAAACGAUAAUGUUUGGCUGAAGCAAAGUCGACUUGUAAGGGGAAAAAUAUCGAAACUCUACAAACAGAUCUGUGUUUUUUUUUUUUUUUUAAGUGUAGGUUUGGAUCGAUAUCAAUGGAUCUUUUUUCUCUCUCUCUCUUUUUUUCUAUCUACUAUUCUACAUAAAAGGUAGCGAGAUAGAGAACUCCACAGGCUACCGAAGCCAAUAAAUGAAGUCUUUUUAGUACAAAAAGUCUUUUUUUUUUACAGAAAAUUCAAAUUCACCUUCGUUUGUAGUAAAACCUAAUUUGAAAAGGUUAAAAAGAAUUGAGAAAAAUAAUAAUUAACUAAUAGUAUAAGGUAAAAUAAUGUUGACAUUAAGUCAACGUCAUUUUUACAUCUACUAAGUAAAAUUCGUCUAACUCAAACCCCUUUUUACACUUCUAUAACUCCAAAGAGGUUUAUGGAGUGUUUUGUUACGCUUUUCUUUAAAAUCGUCACAGAAAAAAACAAGUCACUAGUUUUUAAUAGAUAAAAGAAAAUGCAGAUCUUAAAGAGACUAUAAAAAAAAGGAACGGAUCCGGUUAGUGUGAACAGACAUGCAAUAUAGAUCCCAUUCGUCAACGAAACAAAGAUAUGCACAUGUAUGUAUAUAAGCAUCGGUUUAUAUAAUAUAUAUAUAUAUAGAGAGAGAGAGAGACAGAGCGAGUGAUCUUACCUCUGGACAUACAAUGAAACCCUAGCUUGAGUACUCUUCUAUAAUUUUUGAGCUCUCCUUUGUGGAGAAAAAGAGAUGGACGCGGAGAUAUGCGAAAAUCAGAAGGGCACGGGUUAACACCCUAGUCAAGACAUAACCGGUGAUUUUCGGAGGAUUCUCUUAAGGAGAUAGCAAAGAAAAAACAAAUGGAGAAUUGGCUGAAGGAGGAACUAAGGAAAGAGGAGGAAGAAGAGAAAUAGGUGAGGAGAGGAUGUGGCAGAAGGAAAAGGAGUUAUUGCGAAAUGCAUAGAGAGGGUGCAUCGCAUUUAUGAUUAUCGAAAGGUCCAUUAAUG